GUCCAACUGAUGAGUCUCAAGUAGGACUAAACACAUGUCCUAGAU
rnacentral:hammerhead_ribozyme from 1 species